rnacentral:lncRNA from 8 species
GCCAUCGAUAAGAAACAAUACUGUGCUGCCGUAUUCAUUGACUUGGCCAAGGCUUUCGACUCUGUCAAUCACCACAUCCUCAUCGGCAGACUCAACAGCCGUGGUUUCUCAAAUGAUUGUCUCGCCUGGUUCACCAACUACUUCUCUGAUAGAGUUCAAUGUGUCAAAUCGGAUGGCCUGUUGUCCGGACCUCUGGUAGUCUCUAUGAGGGUGCCACUGGGUUCAAUUCUUGGGCCAACUCUUUUUUCUCUAUACAUCAAUGAUGUCACUCUUGCUGCUGGUAAGUCUCUGAUCCAUCUCUACGCAGACGACACCAUUCUGUAUACUUCUGGCCCUUCUUUGGACACUGUGUUAACAACCCUCCAGACGAGCUUCAAUGCCAUACAACUCUCCUUCCGUGGCCUCCAACUGCUCUUAAAUACAAGUAAAACUAAAUGCAUGCUCUUCAACCGAUCGCUGCCUGCAACUGCCCGCCCGUCCAGCAUCACUACUCUGGACGGUUCUUACUUAGAAUAUGUGGACAACUACAAAUACCUAGGUGUCUGGUUAGACUGUAAGCUCUCCUUCCAGACUCACAUCAAACAUCUCCAAUCCAAAGUUAAAUCUAGAAUUGGCUUCCUAUUUCGCAACAAUGCAUCCUUCACUCAUGCUGCAAAACAUACCCUCGUAAAACUGACCAUCCUACCGAUGCUCGACUUCGGCGAUGUCAUUUACAAAAUAGCCUCCAAUACCCUACUCAAUAAACUGGAUGCAGUCUAUCAUAGUGCCAUCCGUUUUGUCAUCAAAGCCCCAUAUACUACCCACCACUGCGACCUGUACGCUCUCGUUAGCUGGCCCUCGCUUCAUACUCGUCGCCAAACCCACUGGCUCCAGGUCAUCUACAAGACCCUGCUAGGUAAAGUCCCCCCUUAUCUCAGCUCACUGGUCACCGUAGCAGCACCCACCUGUAGCCCGCACUCCAGCAGGUACAGUCGUAUGAAAAAGUUUGGGCACCCCUGACAAUUUCCAUGAUUUCCAUUUAUAAAUAAUUGGGUGUUUGGAUCCGCAAUUUCAUUUUGAUCUAUCAAAUAACUGAUGGACACAGUAAUAUUUCAGUAGUGAAAUGAGGUUGAUUGGAUUAACAGAAAAUGUGCA